UUAUCCGGAUAUACUGGGUGUAAAGGGCGCGCAGGCGGGCCGGCAAGUUGGAAGUGAAAUCUAUGGGCUUAACCCAUAAACUGCUUUCAAAACUGCUGGUCUUGAGUGAUGGAGAGGCAGGCGGAAUUCCGUGUGUAGCGGUGGAAUGCGUAGAUAUACGGAGGAACACCAGUGGCGAAGGCGGCCUGCUGGACAUUAACUGACGCUGAGGCGCGAAAGCGUGGGGAGCAAACAGGAUUAGAUACCCUGGUAGUCCACGCCGUAAACGAUGGAUACUAGGUGUGGGAGGUAUUGACCCCUUCCGUGCCGCAGUUAACACAAUAAGUAUCCCACCUGGGGAGUACGGCCGCAAAGUUGAAACUCAAAGGAAUUGACGGGGGCCCGCACAAGCAGUGGAGCAUGUGGUUUAAUUC
rnacentral:rRNA from 1 species